rnacentral:rRNA from 1 species
CCCUUAGAUGUUCUGGGCCGCACGCGUGCUACACUGAGUGGAUCAGCGGGUCAGGUUGCGCGAAAGUGUUUCCUAAUCUUGAAAUCCGCUCGUGAUGGGGAUUGACGGUUGCAAUUUUCCGUCAUGAACGAGGAAUACCUUGUAAGCGCGGGUCAUCAUCCCGCGCUGAAUACGUCCCUGCCCUUUGUACACACCGCCCGUCGCUCCUACCGAUUGAGUGGUCCGGUGAGGCUUUGGGAUCUGAGCGGAAAGAGCGUUUCGCUGUUUCUGCUCGGAAAACUCAGUCGAACCUUAUCAUUUAGAGGAAGGAGAAGUCGUAUCA